rnacentral:rRNA from 1 species
AUUGAACGCUGGCGGCGUGCUUAACACAUGCAAGUCGAUCGGUAACAGGUGUAGCAAUACAUGCUGACGAGAGGCGGACGGGUGAGGAACGCUUGGGAAUCUGCCUAUCAGCGGGGGACAACCCGGGGAAACCCGGGCUAAUACCGCAUACGCUCUACGGAGGAAAGCCGGGGACCGCAAGGCCUGGCACUGAUAGAUGAGCCCAAGCCGGAUUAGCUAGUUGGCGGGGUAACGGCCCACCAAGGCGACGAUCCGUAGCUGGUCUGAGAGAACGAUCAGCCACACCGGAACUGAGACACGGUCCGGACUCCUACGGGAGGCAGCAGUGGGGAAUAUUGGACAAUGGGCGAAAGCCUGAUCCAGCGACGCCGCGUGGGUGAAGAAGGCCUGCGGGUUGUAAAGCCCUUUCGGUAGGGACGAAAGCUCUCGACCUAACACGUCGGGAGGUUGACUUAACCUACAAAAGAAGCACCGGCUAACUCUGUGCCAGCAGCCGCAGUAAAAC